AUACGUAGGGGGCGAGCGUUGUCCGGAAUGAUUGGGCGUAAAGGGCGUGUAGGCGGCCUGUUAAGUCUGAAGUGAAAGUCCUGUUUUCAAGAUGGGAAUUGCUUUGGAUACUGGCGGGCUUGAGUGCAGGGGAGGGUAUCGGGAUUCCCGGGGGAGCGGUGAAAUGGGUAGAGAUCGGGAGGAACACCAGUGGCGAAGGCGGGUAACUGGACUGCAACUGACGCUGAGGCGCGAAAGUGUGGGGAGCAAACAGGAUUAGAUACCCUGGUAGUCCAUACUGUAAACGAUGAAUGCUAGGUGUAGGGGGUAUCGACCCCUUCUGUGCCGCAGUAAACACAAUAAGCAUUCCGCCUGGGGAGUACGGCCGCAAGGUUGAAACUCAAAUGAAUUGGCGGGG
rnacentral:rRNA from 1 species